rnacentral:rRNA from 1 species
CCUACGGGUGGCAGCAGUGGGGAAUAUUGCACAAUGGGCGCAAGCCUGAUGCAGCCAUGCCGCGUGUGUGAAGAAGGCCUUCGGGUUGUAAAGCACUUUCAGCGGGGAGGAAGGCGGUGAGUUUAAUAACCUCAUCGAUUGACGUUACCCGCAGAAGAAGCACCGGCUAACUCCGUGCCAGCAGCCGCGGUAAUACGGAGGGUGCAAGCGUUAAUCGGAAUUACUGGGCGUAAAGCGCACGCAGGCGGUCUGUCAAGUCGGAUGUGAAAUCCCCGGGCUCAACCUGGGAACUGCAUUCGAAACUGGCAGGCUAGAGUCUUGUAGAGGGGGGGAGAAUUUCAGGUGUAGCGGUGAAAUGCGUAGAGAUCUGGAGGAAUACCGGUGGCGAAGGCGGCCCCCUGGACAAAGACUGACGCUCAGGUGCGAAAGCGUGGGGAGCAAACAGGAUUAGAUACCCGGGUAGUC